rnacentral:rRNA from 1 species
AUUGAACGCUGGCGGCAGGCCUAACACAUGCAAGUCGAACGAGUGGCGGACGGGUGAGUAAUGUCUGGUAAACUGCCCGAUGGAGGGGGAUAACUACUGGAAACGGUAGCUAAUACCGCAUACCAUCGGAUGUGCCCAGCUGGGAUUAGCUAGUAGGUGGGGUAACGGCUCACCUAGGCCACGAUCCCUAGCUGGUCUGAGAGGAGGACAAGCCCCACUGGAACUGAGACACGGGCCAGACGCCGACGGGAGGCAGCAGUGGGGAAUAUUGCACAAUGGGCGCAAGCCUGAUGCAGCCAUGCCGCGUGUAUGAAGAAAGCAUUCGGGUUGUAAAGUACUUUCAGCGAGGAGGCGUUACUCGCAGAAGAAGCACCGGCUAACUCCGUGCCAGCAGCCGCGGUAAUUC